rnacentral:tRNA from 1 species
AGGCUUAUAGUUGAAAGGUUACAACAUACCGCUCAUAACGGUAAAAGUAUAGGUUCGAAUCCUUUUAAGCCUA